UACGUAGGGUGCGAGCGUUGUCCGGAAUUACUGGGCGUAAAGCGCACGUAGGCGGCUUUGUAAGUUAGAGGUGAAAGCCCGGAGCUCAACUCCGGAAUUGCCUUUAAGACUGCAUCGCUUGAAUCCGGGAGAGGUGAGUGGAAUUCCGAGUGUAGAGGUGAAAUUCGUAGAUAUUCGGAAGAACACCAGUGGCGAAGGCGGCUCACUGGACCGGUAUUGACGCUGAGGUGCGAAAGCGUGGGGAGCAAACAGG
rnacentral:rRNA from 1 species